CUGCAAAUAUUCUUGCUGUUCUAAUUUUGUAAUAGUCAAGACAGGCUAAAUAUUCGCUAUAUUUAGAACCAUGUGUGUGUCCCCAGACCUAGUUCUUUCCCUAGCUUUGGUUUUUUUUUUUUUUUUUUUNNNN
rnacentral:snoRNA from 1 species